AAUCUCAUUUUAUAUAUACAUAAAUAAAAAUAAAAAGUUCAGAGCAUGGCAUGGAAAACUCCUUGAAUGAUAAUGCUGCGAAUCCCUCCUGCUCUUGUAAAAGCAAGGCAUUUUUAGGCACUGAUACUCAUCAUUACAAUACAACUCCUGUACACAGGAAACGCAAAAGCUCAGCUGGCCUGUAUUGUAAUGGCGCAGAAGGCUGCCUGCCAUGCUCGCGUUUCAAUUUCCCAAAAAGCAGAUAAGUUAGCCUCUGAAAGAUGUAACUGGUGUACAGUGCGAUGUAUCUCCAUCAUUGCAAAACCACAACUGGAUAUGCUGGAAAAGGAGCUGCUGCUGGAUUAGCCUCACUUUCCCAACUGAGUUAAUAUCCUGCUUAUCAAAACUUCCUUCUUCCCUGUAACAGGAAGAUUGUGCGCUGUCAAGUAAUACUUCAGCUCCGUUACUGUCAAGUCCUUCAACUGCAA